AUUAAGAGCUUGCUCUUAUGAAGUUAGCGGCGGACGGGUGAGUAACACGUGGGUAACCUGCCCAUAAGACUGGGAUAACUCCGGGAAACCGGGGCUAAUACCGGAUAACAUUUUGAACCGCAUGGUUCAAAAUUGAAAGGCGGCUUCGGCUGUCACUUAUGGAUGGACCCGCGUCGCAUUAGCUAGUUGGUGAGGUAACGGCUCACCAAGGCAACGAUGCGUACCCGACCUGAGAGGGUGAUCGGCCACACUGGGACUGAGACACGGCCCACACUCCUACGGGAGGCAGCAGUAGGGAAUCUUCCGCAAUGGACGAAAGUCUGACGGAGCAACGCCGCGUGAGUGAUGAAGGCUUUCGGGUCGUAAAACUCUGUUGUUAGGGAAGAACAAGUGCUAGUUGAAUAAGCUGGCACCUUGACGGUACCUAACCAGAAAGCCACGGCUAACUACGUGCCAGCAGCCGCGGUAAUACGUAGGUGGCAAGCGUUAUCCGGAAUUAUUGGGCGUAAAGCGCGCGCAGGUGGUUUCUUAAGUCUGAUGUGAAAGCCCACGGCUCAACCGUGGAGGGUCAUUGGAAACUGGGAGACUUGAGUGCAGAAGAGGAAAGUGGAAUUCCAUGUGUAGCGGUGAAAUGCGUAGAGAUAUGGAGGAACACCAGUGGCGAAGGCGACUUUCUGGUCUGUAACUGACACUGAGGCGCGAAAGCGUGGGGAGCAAACAGGAUUAGAUACCCUGGUAGUCCACGCCGUAAACGAUGAGUGCUAAGUGUUAGAGGGUUUCCGCCCUUUAGUGCUGAAGUUAACGCAUUAAGCACUCCGCCUGGGGAGUACGGCCGCAAGGCUGAAACCUCAAAGGAAUUGACGGGGGCCCGCACAAGCGGUGGAGCAUGUGGUUUAUUUCGAAGCAACGCGAAAAACCUUACCAGGUCUUGACAUCCUCUGACAACCCUAGAGAUAGGGCUUCUCCUUCGGGAGCAGAAUGACAGGUGGUGCAUGGUUGUCGUCAGCUCGGGCCGGGAAAUGUUGGGUUAAGUCCCGCAACGAGCGCAACCCUUGAUCUUAGUUGCCAUCAUUAGUUGGGCACUCUAAGGUGACUGCCGGUGACAAACCGGAGGAAGGUGGGGAUGACGUCAAUCUUCUGCCCCUUAUGACUGNGCUACCCCGGGCUAAAUGGACGGUCAAAAGUUCCAAACCCGGGGUGGACUAAUCCUAAAACCUUUCCCUUCGGAUUGAGGGGCACCCCCCAUGAAACUGGAACCUUUUAAUCCGGAAACAAUGCCCGGGGAAAAUUUCCGGGCUUUAACCCCCCCUCCCCCCAAGUUUUACCCC
rnacentral:rRNA from 1 species